GACAGAGGGUGCAAACGUUGUUCGGAAUUACUGGGCGUAAAGCGCGUGUAGGCGGCCCUGCAAGUCGGAUGUGAAAUCCCACGGCUCAACCGUGGAAGUGCAUUCGAAACUGCAGGGCUAGAGUCCUGGAGAGGAAGGUGGAAUGCUUGGUGUAGAGGUGAAAUUCGUAGAUAUCAAGCGGAACACCGGUGGCGAAGGCGGCCUUCUGGACUGUAACUGACACUGAGGAACGAAAGCCAGGGGAGCAAACGGG
rnacentral:rRNA from 1 species